UGGCGGCGUGGAUAAGACAUGCAAGUCGAACGGAGUUAUAAUUGUAGUAAUACAAUUAUAGCUUAGUGGCGAACGGGUGCGUAACACGUGAGUAAUCUGCCGGGAAGUGUGGGAUAGCUCGCCGAAAGGCGAAUUAAUACCGCAUGUGGCUAGGGGUGACAUCACUCCGAAGCCAAAGUCGCAAGACGCUUCCUGAUGAGCUCGCGGCCUAUCAGCUAGUUGGUGAGGUAACGGCUCACCAAGGCAAUGACGGGUAGCUGGUCUGAGAGGACGACCAGCCACACUGGAACUGAGACACGGUCCAGACACCUACGGGUGGCAGCAGUCGAGAAUUUUUCACAAUGGGGGAAACCCUGAUGGAGCGACGCCGCGUGGAGGACGAAGGUCUUCGGAUUGUAAACUCCUGUCAUGCGGGAACAAGAAAGUGAUAGUACUGCAAGAGGAAGAGACGGCUAACUCUGUGCCAGCAGCCGCGGUAAUACAGAGGUCUCAAGCGUUGUUCGGAUUCAUUGGGCGUAAAGGGUGCGUAGGUGGCGUGGAAAGUUGAGUGUGAAAUCCUAGGGCUUAACCUUAGAACUGCACUCAAUACUCCCAUGCUAGAGGAAUGUAGAGGAGAGUGGAAUUCACGGUGUAGCAGUGAAAUGCGUAGAUAUCGUGAGGAAGACCAGUUGCGAANGCGACUCUCUGGGCAUCUCCUGACACUGANGCACGAAGGCUNNGGGAGCAAACGGGANUANAUACCCCGGUAGUCCUAGCAGUAAACGGUGCACGUUUGGUGUGGGCAGGCUCANACCCUGUCCGUGCCGGANCUAACGCGUUAAACGUGCCGCCUGGGAAGUANNGUCGCAANANUAAAACUCNAGAAAUUGACGGGGGCCCGCNCAANCGGUGGA
rnacentral:rRNA from 1 species